rnacentral:rRNA from 1 species
GACGAACGCUGGCGGCGUGCCUAAUACAUGCAAGUCGAACGCAGUGGGGACGGGUGAGGAACACGUGGGUGACCUCCCCUCUAAGGGGAUAACACUUGGAAACAGGUGCUAAACCGAUACUGAUGGAGGUACCAGCGGUGCAUUAGCUAGUUGGUGGGGUAACGGCUCACCAAGGCCACGAUGCCUAGCCGACCUGAGAGGGUGAUCGGCCACACUGGGACUGAGACACGGCCCAGACUCCUACGGGAGGCAGCAGUAGGGAAUCUUCGGCAAUGGACGAAAGUCUGACCGAGCAACGCCGCGUGAGUGAAGAAGGUUUUCGGAUCGUAAAACACUGUUGUUAGAGAAGCGGUAUCUAACCAGAAAGCACCGGCUAACUACGUGCCAGCAGCCGCGGUAAUAC